GAGUAACACCGAGCAGUCAAAGGCAUUAAGUUCAGGAAGUGUGGCUGCAAUCACCGUAAUUGUAAUUGUCCUUGUAUUAAUAAUAUUUGGAGGAGCAGCGUUCUGGAAAAUUAGGCGUGGAUCGUAUGGAAGACUACGGGAAGACCCAGAUUAUGGCUCCUUGGGAAAUUAUAACAAUCCCUUGUAUGAUGACUCUUGAAGGAACUAUUUGAUUCAGAAGAAGAACAAAUAUGUGCUGUCUGUUUUACUGUUGUGCUGGGUCACACCAACAAAUACGCUUUACCUUUGAACUCUCAGGCCUGCUGAAUUGUAUGUCUGCUGUGCAUUGAACAAAAUAAGGAACAUACAUUGAGACUAAUCAUCAACCACUGCACUUCAUUAAACCCCUGCACUGUGCCCAUUCACCUACAGUAUGAUUAUACACUCUGUUAAGAUAAAAACUAACGGCCUGAUAUCAAGA